ACCUCAUCCAUCUGCUUCCAUCUGCUCUGGCAGAACAAAACCAGAAAACAUGCAAAUGUAGCUGAAAAUAGAGCAUCUAGGUUAUAGCUGUUCAAGUUGGGGGGUUUUUAAGUAAGUUCUAGAAUUUCUUUGUGUUUCACUUGCUGUUAGUGUGGGUUUUGGUUGUUUUUUUGGGUUUUUUGUUUGUUUGUUUGGGUUUUUGGUUUUGUUUGUUUGUUUGUUUUGGGGGAGUUUUUUGUUUGGUUGGUUUUUUUAUGUCUUGAGAUUUAAAUUGGUUUUCUGACUUGGUUGUAAAGAUUUGGAAGAAAAGUGUGGAUCCCCAAAGGAGGGAAGCAGCCUGUUUAAAAUGCAGCCACAGAAGAUUUUGUAAUCCCUGGAGACUCUGGAUUUAACUGCAUCAGGCAGAAAGUUUCUCCCCUGCAUCCCUGAAGCUCAGCAGCAAAGUUGUUCCAAGCACCUGGAAGGAACAAGAGCUUACAAUGCCUGUGGUACUCCCCCCUGGAAUCUGAAGGGAAGGAUCACACUGACAAUUGUGAUUUAAAAAAAAAAAAAAAUUAAAAAUAAGCAGAGAAAGCCCAAAAAGGUAAGAAAGUAAACACUCAGGCAUUUCAUUUUAUAUGAUAAAAUAUGAAGAUUUUAACAGUUCCAGGUUCAAAAAGCCCUUUGUAUCAUCCUGUUAAUAGGGUUGGGCUUUGGAUCUUCUCUAAAUGACUUAAAAUAAAAAAAAAGUGAGAGAGAGAAAUCAAAAGAAGCAGUUCUGGGCAUUUUUAGCAGGUUAAUUCCCUCUUUUGACAUUUGCUGUGUGCUCCCUGAUUUUCAGUCUGCUGUUUCAGAGGGCCACAAUGAAACACCAGCCUUGGUGAAGAAACAGGAGAUUGGUGUGGUCACAGCUCUGUGACUCAAAAAAUGGCUGGGAAAAACAAAGCACUUCCAACAAAACAUUGAAAGAAAUCAAAUAAUUGUUCAGACACCUUUCUUUU